rnacentral:lncRNA from 1 species
CUCCAGUUUCCCCUCAGUAUUUAAGCAGAACAAGACAGAGCCCAGCCCGCACCUCCUCCGGGCAGGACUCCACAGCCUCCUCUGGGCUCGCCGAAAACCCUGUCCUU